AACGAACGCUGGCGGCAGGCUUAACACAUGCAAGUCGAACGCCCCGCAAGGGGAGUGGCAGACGGGUGAGUAACGCGUGGGAAUCUACCUAGUUCUACGGAACAACACAGGGAAACUUGUGCUAAUACCGUAUACGCCCUACGGGGGAAAGAUUUAUCGGAAUUAGAUGAGCCCGCGUAAGAUUAGCUAGUUGGUGGGGUAAUGGCCUACCAAGGCGACGAUCUUUAGCUGGUCUGAGAGGAUGAUCAGCCACACUGGGACUGAGACACGGCCCAGACUCCUACGAGAGGCAGCAGUGGGGAAUAUUGGACAAUGGGCGAAAGCCUGAUCCAGCCAUGCCGCGUGAGUGAUGAAGGCCUUAGGGUUGUAAAGCUCUUUCAGUAGGGAAGAUAAUGACGGUACCUACAGAAGAAGCCCCGGCUAACUUCGUGCCAGCCGCCGCCGUAA
rnacentral:rRNA from 1 species